rnacentral:rRNA from 1 species
CCUACGUGAGGCAGCAGUGAGGAAUAUUGGUCAAUGGGCGCGAGCCUGAACCAGCCAAGUAGCGUGAAGGAUGACUGCCCUACGGGUUGUAAACUUCUUUUAUAAAGGAAUAAAGUGAGGCACGUGUGCCUUUUUGUAUGUACUUUAUGAAUAAGGAUCGGCGAACUCCGUGCCAGCAGCCGCGGUAAUACGGAGGAUCCGAGCGUUAUCCGGAUUUAUUGGGUUUAAAGGGAGCGUAGAUGGGUUGUUAAGUCAGUUGUGAAAGUUUGCGGCUCAACCGUAAAAUUGCAAUUGAUACUGGCAGUCUUGAGUACAGUUGAGGUAGGCGGAAUUCGUGGUGUAGCGGUGAAAUGCUUAGAUAUCACGAAGAACUCCGAUUGCGAAGGCAGCUUACUAAACUGCCACUGACAUUGAUGCUCGAAAGUGUGGGUAUCAAACAGGAUUAGAUACCCUUGUAGUC